AGAGUUUGAUCAUGGCUCAGGAUGAACGCUGGCGGCGUGCCUAAUACAUGCAAGUCGAGCGAACCACUUCGGUGGUGAGCGGCGAACGGGUGAGUAACACGUAGGUGAUCUGCCCAUCAGACGGGGACAACGAUUGGAAACGAUCGCUAAUACCGGAUAGGACGAAAGUUUAAAGGUGCUUCUGGCACCGCUGAUGGAUGAGCCUGCGGCGCAUUAGCUAGUUGGUAGGGUAAAGGCCUACCAAGGCGACGAUGCGUAGCCGACCUGAGAGGGUGAACGGCCACACUGGGACUGAGACACGGCCCAGACUCCUACGGGAGGCAGCAGUAGGGAAUCUUCGGCAAUGGGCGAAAGCCUGACCGAGCGACGCCGCGUGAAUGAUGAAGGCCUUCGGGUUGUAAAAUUCUGUUAUAAGGGAAGAACGACUUUAGUAGGAAAUGGCUAGAGUGUGACGGUACCUUAUGAGAAAGCCACGGCUAACUACGUGCCAGCAGCCGCGGUAAUACGUAGGUGGCGAGCGUUAUCCGGAAUUAUUGGGCGUAAAGAGCGCGCAGGUGGUUGAUCAAGUCUGAUGUGAAAGCCCACGGCUUAACCGUGGAGGGUCAUUGGAAACUGGUCGACUUGAGUGCAGAAGAGGGAAGUGGAAUUCCAUGUGUAGCGGUGAAAUGCGUAGAGAUAUGGAGGAACACCAGUGGCGAAGGCGGCUUCCUGGUCUGUAACUGACACUGAGGCGCGAAAGCGUGGGGAGCAAACAGGAUUAGAUACCCUGGUAGCCCACGCCGUAAACGAUGAGUGCUGAGUGUUGGGGGUCGAACCUCAGUGCUGAAGUUAACGCAUUAAGCACUCCGCCUGGGGAGUACGGUCGCAAGACUGAAACUCAAAGGAAUUGACGG
rnacentral:rRNA from 1 species